rnacentral:tRNA from 1 species
GUGACUGUAACUCAGUGAUAGAGUGCUUGCUUAGGAUGCCCAAAGCCCUGGGUUCAAAUUCCAGUACUUACA